rnacentral:rRNA from 1 species
UUGGGCCUGCUCGGUGAAUAAUUUUUAACAGCUGCGGUAUUUUAACUGUACUAAGGUAGCAUAAUAAUUUGCCUUAUAAUUUGAGGCUAGAAUGAAUGGUUUGACGAAGGUUAAUCUGUCUCUAUCUUAUUUUUUAGAAUUUAAUUUUUAAAGUGAAAAAGCUUGAAUUUUUUAAAGGGACGAGAAGACCCUAAUGAGCUUAUAAUUUUAUUAUUAUUAUUUAAUAUAUUUAAAUAAUAAUAUAUAAAUUUUAAUUGGGGUGAUUAAGGAAUAAAAGAAUUAUAUAAUAACUUCCUUAGAUUAAAUAUAUAUAUAUAAAGUAACCAAUAAUAUAUUGCUUAUAAUAUAGUUACCAUAGGGAUAACAGCGUAAUUUGUUUAGAGAGUUCUUAUUGAAAAACAAGAUUGCGACCUCGAUGUUGGAUUAAAGUAACCUUAAGGUGCAGAAGCUUUAGUA